rnacentral:lncRNA from 1 species
UGAACCCGGGAGGCGGAGGUUGCAGUGAGCCAAGAUCGUACCACUGCACUCCAGCCUGGGCGACAGAGAGACUCCGUCUCAAUAAAUAAAUAAUAAAAAAAUAAUUUUAAUGUCUGAGCUAUUUUUUGUCUGUGACACUUCUACUGUGUCUACAUGAUAAACUCCCACACACUCCUCAAGAUCCAAGUCAAAUGCCAUCUCUUCUGUAAAUUCCCAUUUCCUAGCCACAAAUGGUUAUCUCUGCUGUUUUGUUGGAGGGAUGCUUGAAAACAUGAGUAGUAAAACUACACAAUAAUACAUGUGAAAAAUAGCCAAAAUAAUUUUUUUUUUUUGAGAUGGAGUCUUGCUCUGUUGCCAGGCUGGAGUGCCAUGGCGCGAUCUCGGCUGACUGCAACCUCUGCCUCCCGGGUUUAAGCGAUUCUCCUGCCUCAGCCUCCCAAGUAGCUGAGAUUACAAGUGUGCGCCACCACGCCCAGCUAAUUUUUAUAUUUUUAGUAGAGUUGAGACGGGGUUUCACCCUGUUGGCCAGGAUGGUCUCGAUCUCCUGACCUCAUGAUCCGCCCACCUCAGCCGCCCACAGGGCUGAGAUUAUAGGCGUGAGCCACUGCGCCCGGCCAAGAAUUUUAAAAAGUUUAAAUUAUCCAUCACGUUCCUAUCCUUAAAGGGUCACUAUUCCUGUAACUCUUUGUAUCAGCACAUAAUUGUGCUGAAGGAGCGGUCUGUAUACCUCUGCUGUGGUCUGUACAUCGUAAGGGAACCAUCUGUCCACAUCUGUCGCCCUGAAGGGAGAACCUGGCAGGGGCCCUGGGUGUGUCUGCUGAGAAGGACUCAGUCUUUGUGAGGAACACUGGAGAACGGUGGCUGCUUCUUCCCCCGUGAGCUGCUGCCAGGUUGCUUUCCCAGUGGGUGCCAGGAACAAGCCUGGUUGCCCUCUCCCAGCCCCGGCUUUGCCUCCCCCCAUGAUUUCUAAUCCAGAGACGCCAGCACCUUUCUGGGAAGAGGGGCUGUCCAUGUCAUCACAACCACUCCGACCCCAGACCCACUAAGCAACUCAGUCCCCCAAAGCCAUCUCAGAACCAGAACAACUCAGCCAGUCCCUCAGGCAGAGGGAGAGCCUGACAUUGGUCUUAAGGAAGGUGCCUUCUCAUCGGACUGCGAAGGGGUGCUGGGGCGCGGGCUGCCACACAGGGUGAUGGGAAGGGGGCCUGGGUCUGUCAGGAUCCCAGCUCACCGAGAGAGAGGAGGGGAACAGGCAGGUGCCAGGGUGGGAGGGCAGAGCACAGAGGCAGAGGCAGACACACCAGGCAGGGCCCUGCUAUGCCUCGUCCCCUCCAACUCCAGUGGAGAAGGGAAUGUCACUUGAGAGAGGAGGGGUGAGGAUCUGACUAAACAGCGUGACCCAGUCCACACUGAACCUGAGGCUGACUGGACUUGGUGGGGCUGACACGUGGAGACAAGAGCAUCCAUCUGUAUCAAGUCUUGAAAGUACUGUGAAACCGUUUCAUGCUCCGCCAGCUGAAGACCGGAGUGUCAACGCCGACACAAAGAGACAGUACACUGAGGGCCCUAAUGUGCUCCUGGACCAUCGCUCCCCAACACAGACACCAGCAGCAGUGGGUGGCAGAGGACACAUUGCUGCAGCUGUCUGGGUCUCACUCCCAUGCACGCCACACAUGCCCAGGUGCCGAGGCCAGGACACGAGUGCCGCAGAGAGCUGCCUCUCGUUGCCUGUCCUGCCCAUGCACUGUCACGGCACGGGGGCCCAGAGGGAAGGAUGUGGUCUAGCUCCCAGCAGCUAGCCACUCCCAGAGAGAGCUCUUCCAGGGCUGGGCAGAGGCUGCCCGGCUCGUCAUCCUGCCUGCUGCCAGCUCAGGCCAUACCCCACCCCCAAGCCCUACGCAAGAGUCCAGAGCUGAAGGGGCCUAUUGUUGGCCCUGGAGGUGGAGUGUGGAAAGAAGGAGUGGAGAGGAGAUGCCAGAGCUGGGAAGUGAACAUUCAGUCUACAAGAUACACUGCUCAUUCCCUCAGGACCAUGUCUACACCAAGACCCAGGAGCUGGGAACAUGUCACCUAGAGCAGGCCGCAGGGCCCAGGAGAGCCUGGGAGCCAGAGAAAUGUCCGGUGCUUCAAGACAUACACCUUAAAUCCCACUGGACCCUGCUCACCAUCUGACCUUGAAGAGCCCGGGACCCUCAAAGGGGAAGGGGCGUGCCUGGUCCAAGGUACCAGGAAGCUGUCAUCGGGAAUGGAGGCUCAUGGAGGCUCAGGAUCUGGGGGAGGGCAAAUGUUAGCGGAAGGGUGACUCUCUUCUGGCCACAGGGUAGGGGGAGAGCCCUGCCAAGGUCAGGGUACCAGAGAAGAGGCCCUGCUUCAUUGGCAGACACAGUGUACAGGGGACAGAGAGAAACAGAGGAGUCCAAUGUUGGCAGACACAGUAUACAGGGGACAGAGGGAAACAGAAGAGUCCAAUGUUGUUACAUCCAGCUGGGGGGCCCAGGAGGUACAGCUGCUGAGGAGGAAGAGAGGGACCAGGAAAACCUCCCUCCCCUCUCACCUUCCUUAGACACCCACCAUGCACCCCACAUGCCCACCCGAUGCUGGUUUCUGGGAGAAUAUGAAGGGGCAGAAGUCAUAGCCUGGGUCCUCAGGAAGACACUAUGCGCCAGCUCUUCACUGAGAGUGUACCUUCACUGGCUGACCAAAAACCUGCCUUACUACCCCAGAUUAUCCCCACUUUACAAAUAUGGAAACCAGCUCUGGAGAGGUGGCCAAGAGCACCCAGAGAGUAAAAGGUAAAGCCAGCAUUCAGCCCAUUCACGACUGUACUGCUUGGCACAAGGAUGCGGGCCCAUGGAGGUCCCCGCGGAAGUCUUAUGACCCACAUUGGACUCGCUGAGUGGAUACCAUGUCAUUCACUGACGCUGAGUGAAUGCAUGGAUUCUGUGAGGAAGUCUGAAGAAGGGACAGGGGUUCCAGGAAAAAACAGUAGAUUCCACACAGUGUCACUCCUUCCUGAAACCUCACCAGAACAACAAUUAAAAAAGGAUGUUCUGAAUGCCAUAGGCCCCUAGGGAGGGGGAGAAUGGUAGAGGAAAAACCACCACAGAACUUUGGAAGCUGGAAAGCAGAUGGGCUGGUGGCAGUUGAGAGCUGACCCAAGAAAAUCACAAAUCCCAGCGUGAGAGACACUUGACUGACCGCCUGCAAUCCUCAAAAGCCCAGGAACUGGCAGCCCCGGAAACCUCUGGAAGAAGAGGUGAGUGUCAGAAGGGCAAUGCUAAAAUACAGGGGAUUACUGAAAAGUUAUUUAAGAGACAGUAAGGGCCGGGCGCGGGGGCUCACGCCUGUAAUCCCAGCACUGUGGGAGGCCGAGGUGGGCGAAUCACUUGAGGUCAGGAGUUCAUGACCAGCCUGGCCAACAUGGUGAAACCCCAUCUCUACUAAAAAUACAAAAGUUAGCCAGGCGUGGU